GUUCUUAGAGAGCAUCCAAAGGAGGGCAACAAGGAUGGUGGAAGGGAAGGCAUAUGAGGAGCAGCUGACUUCACCUUUUCUAUUCAGCCUGGAGAAGACUUCAACAUCCUCACAAGGGGAAGCAGAGAGAUGUACUCUGCUGAUAAAUUUAAAUGGAAGAAAAUUGAAUUAAUAUUCAGUCUUGGAGAACAACUCAUCAUGCAGGAAGGAAGCAUUCCUUUGUGAAUGGCAUUGUGAAUUACACUGGCUCAUAUCAUCAUUUUCCUCAGAGGCACCCCCCCAAAAAAACCUCAAAACCAAAACCAACCAACCAACCAAAAAACACUAAAAAAACCCAAGCAGACUGGAGGAAAAUCUCCAUGUGGAUGACCUUGCACAUUUUAUAGAUAACAGCCCCUCUGGGGCUGCAGAGUUCAGAGGCAUAUUUCAAACUGUAGGAAUCCUAGAGAGCUUGAAGUUAAAAAAAAAAAAAAGAAAAAAAAAAGAAGAAGGAAAAAGAAGACAACUCUCAUCUACUAUGAGCAUUCAACUGUGAAAUAAUUACUCCACUGACCUUGUUUUACCACUGACAUCCAUGAGAGCAGAGAUUAAUAAAGGUUGAGUGCUUCUGCAAAUCUCACCUUUAGUGUCAGUAAGAAAACCUGCCCAUUCCAAAUUCUUACUUUAGCUGAUACUUUAAGGAAUUACCAUGAAGACCUAUGAUAGCCCCUCCAAGGUUGGAGGGGCACGGAAGGGAGAACAGAAGAGAAAAUAUAAGGAGACAUAAGUUAUCUUUCCUUCCCUGCACCUACGUAAAAAGUUCCUCAGUCAAAAUGUC